rnacentral:rRNA from 1 species
CAGGGAUUGCCCUAGUAACGGCGAGUGAAGCGGCAACAGCUCAAAUUUGAAAUCUGGCCCUCGCGGUCCGAGUUGUAAUUUGUAGAGGAUGCUUUUGGUUAGGUACCUUCCGAGUUCCCUGGAACGGGACGCCAGAGAGGGUGAGAGCCCCGUACGGUUGGAUACCGAGCCUCUAUAUAGCUCCUUCGACGAGUCGAGUAGUUUGGGAAUGCUGCUCUAAAUGGGAGGUAAAUUUCUUCUAAAGCUAAAUACCGGCCAGAGACCGAUAGCGCACAAGUAGAGUGAUCGAAAGAUGAAAAGUACUUUGAAAAGAGGGUUAAAUAGCACGUGAAAUUGUUGGUAUCCAACCGUACGGGGCUCUCACCCUCUCUGGGCGUCCCGUUCCAGGGAACUCGGAAGUGCACUUCGCCCGGUUUAGGCCAGCAUCGGUUCUCCUAGGGGGAUAAAGGCGGGGGGAACGUGGCUCCUUCGGGAGUGUUAUAGC